UACCACCUGGCAUAGUGGUUAGAGUGUUAGAUCAUGACUCUGAAGGCCAGACUUCAAUUCCCUGCUCAGCCA